rnacentral:rRNA from 1 species
GAUGAACGCUGGCGGCGUGCCUAAUACAUGCAAGUCGAGCGAACAGAUGAGGAGCUUGCUCCUCUGACGUUAGCGGCGGACGGGUGAGUAACACGUGGAUAACCUACCUAUAAGACUGGGAUAACUUCGGGAAACCGGAGCUAAUACCGGAUAAUAUAUUGAACCGCAUGGUUCAAUAGUGAAAGACGGUUGUGCGGUCACUUAUAGAUGGAUCCGCGCCGCAUUAGCUAGUUGGUAAGGUAACGGCUUACCAAGGCAACGAUGCGUAGCCGACCGGAGAGGGUGAUCGGCCACACUGGAACUGAGACACGGUCCAUACUCCUACGGGAGGCAGCAGUAGGGAAUCUUCCGCAAUGGGCGAAAGCCUGACGGAGCAACGCCGCGUGAGUGAUGAAGGUCUUCGGAUCGUAAAACUCUGUUAUUAGGGAAGAACCAAUGUGUAAGUAACUAUGCACGUCUUGACGGUACCUAAUCAGAAAGCCACGGCUAACUACGUG